GUCUGGUCGAACGUCGAACUGAACUCAAUCCCUACGUUUUUCGUAUCUUCCUUUGUUUUUUUGUUUUUUUAUAGUCCAAAUAAAUAAUUCGUUUUAAUCUAUACAUAGCUGUGUUUUCCCGACCACCUUGCGGUGUAGUAAGCACAGAGGGGAAUCCUACUGAGCUGCCUUGACGCAACCUGAGCACGGUGGAAAUGGGAGAUGGAGAACAGAUAUGUAUACUGGCGUUUUUGAAAUUAGAAUGUUGUAAUAAAAGAAUUGUGUUGAUAUA